GACGAACGCUGGCGGCGUGCUUAACACAUGCAAGUCGAACGGAAAGGCCCUGCUUUUGUGGGGUGCUCGAGUGGCGAACGGGUGAGUAACACGUGAGUAACCUGCCCUUGACUUUGGGAUAACUUCAGGAAACUGGGGCUAAUACCGGAUAGGAGCUCCUGCUGCAUGGUGGUGGUUGGAAAGUUUCGGCGGUUGGGGAUGGACUCGCGGCUUAUCAGCUUGUUUGUGGGGUAGUGGCUUACCAAGGCUUUGACGGGUAGCCGGCCUGAGAGGGUGAACGGCCACAUGGGGACUGAGAUACGGCGCAGACUCGUACGGGAGGCAGCGGGGGGGAAUAUUGCACAAUGGGCGGAAGCCUGAUGCAGCAACGCCGCGUGCGGGAUGACGGCCUUCGGGGUGUAAACAGCUGUCGCCUGUGACGAAGCGUGAGUGACGGUAAUGGGUAAAGAAGCACCGGCUAACUACGUG
rnacentral:rRNA from 1 species